GCGUUCUGCAGUGCUGCAGCUCCUAGCCAACACAUAUACACGAUAUGCCAACAUUUUGCUCUCUGCUGGAUUCCCGAUACCAGUGAUGAAAGACCUUGGAGUGAAGAAUGUCGAUGUUGCCUCAGGAGAGAAUGUUCUCCUUCUGAUGGCCUAAUAUUCCAUUGUGAAACCAAUCCCUCAGAAACAGGAACAGACCUAGAAGAAGACAGAAAGUGCUGCUGGUCCCUCCUGCCCCCGCUUAGGUUGCUUUUAUUGUUCCAGUUCACCUUCUUUUGGCUUUCAUUUUCUGCUCCGUGGAAGAACGAGACAGAGAAGGAGACCCUGGCUUGGAUUCAUCUCCUCUGGACCUCAGUGGGAUAUUUGGUGUCCUGUGCAGGGAGGGGGAAAUCUUGCCAUAAUUUCUACUUCUUUGGUGGGGCAGUAUUUGCACAGAGAUGAGUCUUGUUUCUCCAGGGCUCACUCUACUUGGUUUCCUUUGCUUGCUUCUCUUACUUUGGUAAUAAAAAAUUCUCCCCUGA
rnacentral:lncRNA from 11 species